rnacentral:lncRNA from 1 species
AUGUGCAGCGCGAGUGCUGUCUGCUCCUCAGAAAGAGGUGUUCGUGAUGAUCCCUGAGGUCAAACAGUUGCCUGCUGGUGGUGAGACACACUUCCAAAGACACUGACUUACAGAUUAAUAUUUACUUCAUAGCUCAUGACGUUUGUUUUGAUCUUUUCUGAGGAAGUUGAGUCUGAUAACACAGAUUUUAGGCCUGUGUGUGUGUGUGUGUGUGUGUGUGUGUGUGUGUUUGUGUUGCUGCAGUCAUCGUCUUCCUGCGUAGAAGAAGACAUCAGAACGGUGUGUCACACGGGGACGUUGAGAAGACCAAGACGCCUCAGACAACAACCAAAGACCCUCAUGAGUGAGUCAGUUUGUUCAUUAUGUAUAUUUUAUUUUUAUUGCUUCUUUGCACAAUGUUUGAAUCCGUCUUCACAGAUCAAGUCGGAGCUGUUGGUUAACCAGGCUACUAACUUAUGAUGCACUUUACUCUGCAGGAACCUUUGUGUAUUCACAGUCAGCGUGUUUGUCCUCUCACUGUUGUUCAGAGCGAUUUGGAAACUGACUCUUGUUUUUAUCUGAAGGACCCAAACACCUUUAAUGAAGAACGAGCUACGGAAACGGUUGUCUUCUGUGAAGAAAGAAUAGACAAGCUUCACCACAUCAUCUCCGGAAGCAAGAAAAUCUUUAGUUUUGAACUGAUAACUCUACUGCUCUGUUUAAGAAGGGACAGAGCAGCUUUAUCUUCUGAGGAGACUGAGGUCUUUUAGAGUGCAGGCUCCUUAAGACCUUCUUUGACUCUGUGGGGGCAUCAGCUAUUUUGUAUAGAGUGGUCUGCUGGGGCAGCAGCAUCUCAGCUGCUGACAGGAAGAGACUGAACAGACUGGUGAAGAAGGCCAGCUCUGUCCUCUGGACACUGUGGAGGUGGUGGGAGACAGGAGAAUGACGGCCAAGCUGUCCUCUUUAUGUCCCGUCCCGUCCCCCCCCCCCCCCCCUCCCCCUCCAGGACACUUUGUCCACACUAUGCAGCUCCUUCAGUGACAGGCUGCUUCACCCGCGGUGUCUCACGGAGAGAUACCGUAGGUCCUUUCUCCCUGCAGCGGUCAGACUGUACCAUCACCACGGCCCCUGGUACACCACCACACCAAGCACACACUAUUCCACCACUGUUGGGCAAUUAUCACUGUCAUGUGCAAUAUACACUCUUAUAACUUUUUUUAUCAACGAGUCUGUACUUCUACGACUGUUACUGUAUUUAUACUAUAUUCUAUUUAAUUGUGUACUCGCCACUUUACUUUCUUAUUUUGCUGUAACAAGGUAAAUUUCCCCGUUGUGGGACUAAUAAUAAAGGGAUUCUGAUUCUGAUUCUGAUUCUGAUUCAUUCCACAGAAUAACACAAACUGUUUUACCAAAACAAAACCGCUGGAAAGUCCUGAAAUCCAGAUACAUUCAUCACAACAACACCGAACAUGUCUGUACCAGGUCAUAGAUAAUUAUUCCAGCAGAUCAAUAAGAUUCAUGGACACAGUAGUUUAGAAACAUUGUAAUAUAAUUUAGAUGAUGGUUUUACACUAAUUCACUGAAGCAUCAGUGUCCCAUUUUAUACGUCUUUUUACAAUGAAAUGUUUAUAAAUGUUCUGCUGCUGCUCUUUGUCCUUUUUGUAUUUUUAUAUAAACUGAAUUAUGAAAUUACAGGGUUCUGUAUAUAAUUAAUAUAAAUAAUGAAGGUUGUUUGUUAAAGAAACAUUUAUAAUACAUUUUAAAACUCUUGAAUCAAAAUUCAUGUGGUUUCCGUCAUAAAUAAGCAAAUCAUUAUUAAAGGAACAUUUAACAAAAUAAAAGUUGUGUGCAGAGGAGGACACACAUGGACUCUGAGGAGAGCAAGACGUACAAAACAAGCAUCCAAAGACACUUUCUCAUUAUUAAUUUAUAC